UGACGGGGCCCGCACAAGCGGUGGAGCAUGUGGUUUAAUUCGAUGAUACGCGAGGAACCUUACCUGGGCUCAAAUGUAUGUUGACGUAUUCUGAAAGGGAUACUUCUUCGGACAAUAUACAAGGUGCUGCAUGGUUGUCGUCAGCUCGUGCCGUGAGGUGUCGGGUUAAGUCCCAUAACGAGCGCAACCCCUAUCAUUAGUUGCCAUCAGGUCAAGCUGGGGACUCUAAUGAAACUGCCUACGCAAGUAGUGAGGAAGGUGGGGAUGACGUCAAAUCAGCACGGCCCUUACGUCCAGGGCUACACACGUGCUACAAUGGCCGGUACAAAGGGCAGCUACCUGGUGACAGGAUGCUAAUCUCAAAAGCCGGUCUCAGUUCGGAUCGGAGUCUGCAACUCGACUGCAUGAAGUUGGAAUCGCUAGUAAUCGUGGAUCAGCCAAGCUGCGGUGAAUACGUUCCCGGGCCUU
rnacentral:rRNA from 1 species